AGAGUUGAUCAUGGCUCAGGAUGAACGCUAGCUACAGGCUUAACACAUGCAAGUCGAGGGGCAGCAGGACGAUAGCUUGCUAUGUUGCUGGCGACCGGCGCACGGGUGAGUAACGCGUAUCCAACCUUCCCCUUAGUAGGGCAUAGCCCGGUGAAAAUCGGAUUAAUACCCUAUGUUAUUCGUCGAGGACAUCUGAAGUGAAUCAAAGAUUUAUCGCUAAGGGAUGGGGAUGCGUCUGAUUAGGUAGUCGGCGGGGUAACGGCCCACCGAGCCCUCGAUCAGUAGGGGUUCUGAGAGGAAGGUCCCCCACACUGGUACUGAGACACGGACCAGACUCCUACGGGAGGCAGCAGUGAGGAAUAUUGGUCAAUGGGCGAGAGCCUGAACCAGCCAAGUAGCCGUGCAGGAUGACGGCCCUAUGGGUUGUAAACUGCUUUUAUACGGGGAUAAAGUGAGGGACGUGUCCCUUAUUGUAGGUACCGUAUGAAUAAGGACCGGCUAAUUCCGUGCCAGCAGCUGC
rnacentral:rRNA from 1 species